rnacentral:rRNA from 1 species
UACGGGGGGGGCAAGCGUUGUUCGGAAUUACUGGGCGUAAAGCGCACGUAGGCGGAUCAGUCAGUUAGGGGUGAAAUCCCAGGGCUCAACCCUGGAACUGCCUUUAAUACUGCUGGUCUGGAGUCCGAGAGAGGUGAGUGGAAUUCCGAGUGUAGAGGUGAAAUUCGUAGAUAUUCGGAGGAACACCAGUGGCGAAGGCGGCUCACUGGCUCGGUACUGACGCUGAGGUGCGAAAGCGUGGGGAGCAAACAGG